UACGAAGGGUGCAAGCGUUACUCGGAAUUACUGGGCGUAAAGCGUGCGUAGACGGUUAUUUAAGUCGGGUGUGAAAGCCCCGGGCUCAACCUGGGAAUUGCAUUCGAGACUGAAUAGCUAGGGUACGGUAGAGGGAAGCGGAAUUUCCGGUGUAGCGGUGAAAUGCGUAGAUAUCGGAAGGAACAUCAGUGGCGAAAGCGGCUUCCUGGACCAGUACCGACGUUCAGGCACGAAAGCGUGGGGAGCAAACAGG
rnacentral:rRNA from 1 species